UUAUUUGAAGGCCGUGGCUUGUCGCAAUUAUGUGUUAAUGGAAAAAACAUAUUGCACAAUCCCCGGCCUGUAAAUGA
rfam:Glossina fuscipes fuscipes unplaced genomic scaffold Scaffold824, whole genome shotgun sequence.